rnacentral:rRNA from 1 species
GGACCCCACUGCUAUCGAGAUGGGACUAAGGUAUGCUAGUCGAACGAACUGAACUAUGUCAGUUAGUGGCACACUGCUCAGUAACACGUGGCUAACCUACCCUUAGGACGUGGAUACCCCCGAGAAAUUGGGGUUAAUCCGCGAUAGGUGUAAUGUCCUGGAAUGGUAUUACGCCCAAAGGUAAUUCAUACAUGUUUGAAUUACGCCUAAGGAUGGGGCUGCGGCCGAUCAGGCAGUUGGUGAGGUAAUGGCUCACCAAACCUUUGACCGGUACGGGCCAUGAGAGUGGUAGCCCGGAGAUGGACACUGAGACAAGGGUCCAGGCCCUAAGGGGCGCAGCAACCGCGAAACCUCCACAAUGCACUCACGUGCGAUGGGGCUAUCUCGAGUGCCACCUGAUGAAGGUGGCUUUUCCUAGGUCUUCAAAGCCUUGGGAAUAAGAGGGGGGCAAGACUGGUGU